GGUACAGUGUCAAGGAAGAAAAAUUCUAAAACCCAGCAAUUUCAGUAUCUUUUGGAGUUCUGAAUAGAAAUUAGCAUGAAACACCAGAGCCAGCAUAUUCAUGAAAGAAAAGAAGAAAAUGAAGAACAUAUAAAACUAAAGACGAAAAACUACACAAAUAAUGUCUGACAUGAUUAUUCUCUUAUUUCAUUUCACGACACAAGUUUAAAUGGUUCACGAUUAGAUAGGACAUUAGCAAACAUCUUUAUUUGUAGUAAAAGCUCGAAUUGUUAAUUUCAAGACACCUUUCCUUGAACUAUAAAUGUCAAUUAUGCAAGAUAAGGCACACAAGCCUGCAGAUGGAUGGAGAGCACACAUUGGACUUCACUCCAGUCAAUCCAUCUACUUUCAUUCCAGUAUUUUCUCGUCUAUAAAUGCUUCGUAUCUACUUAUUCCUCAUGCUACCUAGAAAUUUUAAUAGACAGCAAAACAAACAAGCUAAAUAGAAAUGAAGCCAGACACGGACAUACAAAAGACAGAAAAUUUCAUUUACUCUUCGAGUCCUUUCUGAAUUCCGAGGAUAAUUGGACAACAAAAAAGAUUGUCUGGCUCACAUCUCUUGUCUCAGUAAUGGGGAAUCAGCUCUAGUUCAAGCAAGAUUGUCAAGUCAUCAUCAAAUAAACCCAAAAAAAAAAACUUGCCUUGUCUAUUCAGAAGGCCUAUGCUUCUCGAUAAGUAAUUAGUUCAGAGAAAUUUACUGAAAGAAGUUUGGAUGAUAAUCUACCACUUUACAAAUUGAAAAUGGAAGUUGAAAACAUCACAACAGAUUAGCAUUAAAUUAUCCAUAGCAAAACACAACGAAAACCCACAAAUCUUUUUUGACUUCGCACCUAUCUAGUACAAAGAAAUAUGAGUAUGAAAGAAACCCAUGUUUUAUUCAACCAAUUAAGUACAAGAAGUAUCCAAUCAAAGUAAGCGUACUCUAAAAGCUAGCAAAAUCUUGAAUAUGCUAUUAACUGGAUCAUGUUAAGCCCGAAAUACUAGGGAAAAAAAUGAUGAUUAAAAUACUAAAUAAAGGAUUAAGAAAACGAACAAGGAAAAGGGA
rnacentral:lncRNA from 1 species